UACGUAGGCAGCAAGCGUUGUUCGGAAUUACUGGGCGUAAAGAGUGUGUAGGCGGUGCUCCAAGUCUGGUGUGAAAUCUCCCGGCUUAACUGGGAGGGUGCAUUAGAAACUGGAAUGCUAGAGGAUGGGAGAGGUAAGCGGAAUUCCUGGUGUAGCGGUGGAAUGCGUAGAUAUCAGGAGGAACACCUGUGGUGUAGACAGCUUACUGGACCAUUUCUGACGCUGAGACACGAAAGCGUGGGUAGCAAACAGG
rnacentral:rRNA from 1 species